GUUAGGAAUAUUGGACAAUGGGCGCAAGCCUGAUCCAGCCAUGCCGCGUGAGUGAUGAAGGCCUUCGGGUUGUAAAGCUCUUUAGCCGAUGAUUAUAAUGACUGUAGUCGGAAAAUAAGCCCCGGCUAACUUCGUGCCAGCAGCCGCGGUAAUACGAAGGGGGCGAGCGUUAUUCGGAAUCACUGGGCGUAAAGCGUGCGUAGGCGGCUUUGCAAGUUGGGAGUGAAAGCCCAGGGCUCAACCCUGGAAUUGCUCUCAAAACUGCAAGGCUCGAAUUCGGGAGAGGAUAGCGGAAUUGUCAGUGUAGCAGUGAAAUGCGUAGAUAUUGACAGGAACACCAGUGGCGUAAGCGGCUAUCUGGACCGAUGUUGACGCUGAGGCACGAAAGCGUGGGGAUCAAACAGGAUUAGAUACCCUUGUAGUCC
rnacentral:rRNA from 1 species